rnacentral:rRNA from 1 species
AGCCUGCGGUUUAAUCGGACUCAACGCCGGGAGACUCACCAGAUAAGACAGCUGAAUGAUAGUCGGGCUGAAGACUCUACUUGACUAGCUGAGAGGAGGUGCAUGGCCGUCGUCAGUUCGUACUGUGAAGCAUCCUGUUAAGUCAGGCAACGAGCGAGACCCACGCCAACAGUUGCCAGCUCGUCCUCCGGGAUGGUGGGGACACUGUUGGGACCGCCUCUGCUAAAGAGGAGGAAGGAAUGGGCAACGGUAGGUCAGCAUGCCCCGAAUUAUCUGGGCUACACGCGGGCUACAAUGGGUGGGACAAUGGGUAUCGACACCGAAAGGUGAAGGCAAUCUCCUAAACCCAUCCGUAGUUCGGAUUGUGGGCUGCAACUCGCCCACAUGAAGCUGGAAUCUGUAGUAAUCGUGUCUCAAAAUGGCACGGUGAAUAUGUCCCUGCUCCUU